rnacentral:rRNA from 1 species
AGAGUUUGAUCCUGGCUCAGAACGAACGCUGGCGGCAGGCCUAACACAUGCAAGUCGAGCGAUUAAAGCUCCUUCGGGAGUGUAUAAAGCGGCGAACGGGUGAGUAACAGGUGGAUAAUCUGCCUUCUGGUGGGGGAUAACGGUUGGAAACGACCGCUAAUACCGCAUGUCAUUGUCGGUCCUUGGACCGGCAAGAAAAGGCGCUUCACGGCGUCACCAGAAGAUGAGUCCGCCCCCCAUUAGCUUGUUGGUGAGAUAACAGCUCACCAAGGCAACGAUGGGUAGCCGAGCUGAGAGGUUGAUCGGCCACACUGGAACUGAGAUACGGUCCAGACACCUACGGGUGGCAGCAGUGAGGAAUAUUGGACAAUGGGCGAAAGCCUGAUCCAGCCAUGCCGCGUGAGUGAUGACGGCCUUCGGGUUGUAAAGCUCUUUUCUAAGGGAAGAACACCCAGGGGAGGAAAUGUCCCUGGAUUGACGGUACCUUAGGAAUAAGGAACGGCUAACUCCGUGCCAGCAGCCGCGGUAAUACGGAGGUUCCAAGCGUUGUUCGGAUUUACUGGGCGUAAAGGGAGCGCAGGCGGAAAGGUCAGUCUGAAGUGGAAUCCCGGGGCUCAACCUCGGAAGUGCUUUGGAUACUGCCUUUCUUGAGUCCAUGAGAGGAAAGCGGAAUUCAGGGUGUAGCGGUGAAAUGCUUAGAUAUCCUGAGGAACACCAAUGGCGAAAGCAGCUUUCUGGCAUGUGACUGACGCUGAGCUCGAAAGCGUGGGGAGCGAACGGGAUUAGAUACCCCGGUAGUCCACGCCGUAAACGUUGUGCACUAGGUGUGGGAGGUAUCGAMCCCUUCUGUGCCGUAGCUAACGCAUUAAGUGCACCGGCUGGGGAGUACGCUCGCAGAGUGAAACUCAAGGAAUUGCCGGGGCCCCGCACAAGCGGUGGAGC